rnacentral:rRNA from 1 species
AACUGCUUUUAUAAGGGAAUAAAGUGAGCCUCGUGAGGCUUUUUGCAUGUACCUUAUGAAUAAGGACCGGCUAAUUCCGUGCCAGCAGCCGCGGUAAUACGGAAGGUCCGGGCGUUAUCCGGAUUUAUUGGGUUUAAAGGGAGCGUAGGCCGGAGAUUAAGCGUGUUGUGAAAUGUAGAUGCUCAACAUCUGCACUGCAGCGCGAACUGGUUUCCUUGAGUACGCACAAAGUGGGCGGAAUUCGUGGUGUAGCGGUGAAAUGCUUAGAUAUCACGAAGAACUCCGAUUGCGAAGGCAGCUCACUGGAGCGCAACUGACGCUGAAGCUCGAAAGUGCGGGUAUCGAACAGGAUUAGAUACCCUGGUAGUCCGCACGGUAAACGAUGGAUGCCCGCUGUUGGUCUGAAUAGGUCAGCGGCCAAGCGAAAGCAUUAAGCAUCCCACCUGGGGAGUACGCCGGCAACGGUGCAACUCAAAUGAAU